UUUUAUAAGUAAGCACACCAAGAGAUGUAUCAUUGCUUGCUCAUGAAGAGCACUGUGGUCUCCAUUCAGGAAUCAGUCCCAGGAGUGAUGGUAGCUGCAGAAUGAGAGGCGCAGAUUAAGUCACAGAAGUUUGGUCCUCAAGAAUCCACCAGGUGCCUGGCACUCUUUUAGCACUGGAAAUACAGUAGUGACAAAGCACGACAAGACAAGCAAAAGAAAACAAGAAAAACAGGAUAGUCGGAAGGAGGGAAUUAAGCGAACCACAGAAUGUUCACUGGAAUGCUGUCUUGUAAAAUGGAAUGGUUUUACAAAAGCUAGGUCCUCAGCAGAA
rnacentral:lncRNA from 1 species